rnacentral:lncRNA from 1 species
GGAAGCAGACACACAGAAGAUUCUAUUAAAGAUUCAAGCAUUUAUGAAGUGUGCUCUGUAGGUUACAGCAGGGGACUGGCAGUCAGGAGAGCUGCUGAGUUUCCCAGCUUGACCUCAUGCCUUCCCUCAAGUCAGUUGACAAUCAGGUGCUUGGCUGGACCUGUCUAAGAUAGAAGACUAGAUAAUACAUGGGAAUAUGCUCUAGAACUGGAAAUGACAGAACUGAAAGCACAGAGAAAUCUGAAAGUUUGGAGAAUUUGCUCACUGCCUUCUCUAGUACGUAAGAACAAUGCCUAACUGUCUGGAGCACAUCACAAGUGGAAAUUCUGAAAAAUUUCAUGAAGGAAACUCAUGCAUAUGGACUUCCAAAAUGUCUGGCUGCCUACGUGCCUGAAUCACAGGGCUGAUGAUCCCUUCACACCGAGUAGCCAUCACACCCAGGUCUGCCUCAGCAGCUGUUCAGGAAGGAUUUCAGAAAACAAAGCCCAAC